AAAUCUACACUACAUUGUUAUCUGUCACCCCAAUGAUCGCCAGGGUUGGUUUGACUGAUCUGGCUGGCUAGGCAGGUGUCCCCUUCCUACCUCACUGCUCCAUGUAAGUCCCUCCUGAAGCUGCGCGCUUGGUGGAAGAGGACAACCAUCCUCCAUAGAGGAGGACCGUUCUUCGGUCAAGGGUAUACGAAUAGCUGCACUCCCCUGUUAGAACCUCCAAACAAGCUCUCAAAAUCUACACUACACAAAGCAAUCUACACAUUUAAUGCAAUCUAUAUCAAAAUACCACCAACAUUUUUUUUUAGAGAGCUGGAACAAUUCUAACAGGGUUGUUGUUUUUUUUU
rnacentral:snRNA from 1 species